rnacentral:rRNA from 1 species
GUCGAGAAUCUUUCACAAUGGGGGCAACCCUGAUGGAGCGACGCCGCGUGGAGGAUAAGGUCUUCGGAUUGUAAACUCCUGUCAUGCGUGAACAAGGUUGCUUGGUUAAUACCUGGGCAAAUUGAUGGUAACGCAAGAGGAAGAGACGGCUAACUCUGUGCCAGCAGCCGCGGUAAUACAGAGGUCUCAAGCGUUGUUCGGAAUCACUGGGCGUAAAGGGUGCGUAGGUGGCGUGGUAAGUCAGAUGUGAAAGCCCGGGGCUCAACCUCGGAAAUGAAUCCGAUACUGCCAUGCUAGAGUACUGGAGAGGUGACUAGAAUUCUCGGUGUAGCAGUGAAAUGCGUAGAUAUCGAGAGGAAUACCAAAGGCGUAGGCAGGUCACUGGACAGUUACUGACACUGAGGCACGAAGGCCAGGGGAGCGAACGGGAUUAGAAACCCGGGUAGUCC